rnacentral:rRNA from 1 species
GACGAACCGUCCAAACGUUAUUUGGUAUCACUGGGCUUAAAGCGUGCGUAGGCGGCUUGAUAGGUGAGAUGUGAAAGCCCACGGCCCAACCGUGGAAUUGCGUUUCAAACCAUCGGGCUUGAGGAAGAUAGGGGUGAUGGGAACUUAUGGUGGAGCGGUGAAAUGCGUUGAUAUCAUAGGGAACACCGGUGGCGAAAGCGAAUCACUGGAUCUUUACUGACGCUGAGGCACGAAAGCUAGGGUAGCGAACGGG